rnacentral:rRNA from 1 species
AAAAUUUUAAAGGUCGAACAGACCUAAAAAUUAAGCUUCUGCACUUAAAUUUAAUUUUAAUCCAACAUCGAGGUCGCAAACUCUUCUAUUGAUAUGAACUCUCCAGAAAAAUUACG